ensembl:lncRNA
GUGUCCAGAGGAUAUGAAGGUGAUGCUGCAUGUCCUGGAGCUGGCCUGAUGGAGCUGAGAGCAGAUGGAUGGAUGGAGCCAGCACUGCUGAUCCGUGGCAGUGAGGCUGUGCAUUGUACAUGGAACCACUCACGUGAUUCCUGUCGAGCCAAAAUAUUCUUUCAGAAAGAGCAUUGACCAGAUGCCUUAUUAUUAUUGCUCACAAUGCUGUCCUCAGAGUACAACAAUCCAUCACGGAGCUCGGCGCAGUCCUACAGAAAAGUCCCUGACACAUUUUUACAGAAGGGCCAGGUUCUCACCACUUGUGUGCAUUUGUAUCCCUUGACAAAUAGCUGUUUGACUUCAGUUUUGUUCCAAGUCAGUGGUGUCAAGCACAGGGCUCCUAUUCAAGUGCCCACCAAUGGUGAUGCACAACUCCCUGCUUCCUCUUCUUUUCUUGCUUUGUUUCCCUGUGGCAGUCACUGUUUCUUUUUUUUCCCCUUCUCCUCACAUAUCUCAUAGGUUUGCUUUAAAGAUAGUUUUAAAGAAUAUAUUCACAGCAAAAAAGUGCCUUUAAUAAGAACUGUAAAAAUGGCUCAGGACUAGAUAUCAUGGGGAAUUGCUGUUUGCAUAGGUUGCUGAUAUGACACUUGAUUAUUUUCUGCUAAUUUUUCCAACUUGAUUAGCAGACUGGCUAGCGAAGCCUUGGGUGUGUUGAGAAAUACUGUGGUUUGGCUUCUGCUCAAUGUAUGGCUCCUCCUAAAACUGAGAGGUGUGUUCCUAAGUGCUCUGAGCACCUCGGACGUGUGGUAGAAUUAUUACUACCAGGUUAUGAGCAGUGCUGUUUGUCCUUUCAUGUAUCAGCCUUUCAGGCAAGACGUUGACUUUAAAUUCCUUUCUGAGUUAAAUGUAUCCCCAAGGUUGCCUGUAAGGAACAGACUCCAGCUGUGUCAUGUGCUGUGUGAACUUAAAAAACAACGAUGUCCCUCUGUUUCAGGUGUAUUGAGAGUGUAGUGGCUGAGGGAUGUGCAGAAAGUCAAGCUGGGAGUGGAAGCACAGCCCCAAAAUGCAUGUGCACAGCCGUGGUUCAUCAUUAUGGAGGCUGUUGGUGGCCCUGCCUAUGCUCUGAUGCUUCCUCUGGAGUUCAGCUUCGAAGUAAAUCUCACAUCACACUGCAAACUUUUUUUCAAGCCAGAGACCUGUCUGUAAUUCGUAGCUCACCAGGGUCUGCAGGCCAGAGGCUGAAAAGUGUUGCAUCAAAGGAGCUGAGUGCUGGAGAUGUGGCUGAGAUGGAAAUGAAGGUCUAAAGUCCCAGAAUGGAAACCACCCAGGCCUCCUUGCUCAACUCCCUUCUGAUGCUGUGGAAUCGGAUGCCCAAAUGGGAUGGGCAGGACCUCCAGCAUGCCCUACAUCAGCGGGAGCCCUGGAAGGCCACACAGCAGCAAACGAUGCUGUGAUUUCCAGAGGAUGCUGAUGCUCAACCUGGAUGGCUGGAAAAACCUAUUGAUCAAGAGGCUGUGUCCUACAAAAGGGAGAAAUAGGUCAGCAGAUAUGUUAAUCCCAGCUUGAUCUAAAGUCUUCGGGACAGGUGGCAACCUUCAUUUAAUGGAACAAUGAGAUCAUUAGGAAUUCAUAAUGAACUGUACCGUGGCCAUGGAAGUAGGUCACACUUACCCCAGGAAGACAUCAAAUUGAAUCUGUUCCCAUUCACGUGCAGGAGUGGAGAUGGCUGGGGGCAGGCUGAUAGCUCUGCCUUGGGAUUUGCUCACCAGACAAUUUUAGGAAGGAAAGGGGGCAAAUGCAAUGGACAUAAAAUGAUUUACAUUGUCC